rnacentral:rRNA from 1 species
CCUACGGGUGGCAGCAGUCGAGAAUCAUUCACAAUGGGGGAAACCCUGAUGGUGCGACGCCGCGUGGGGGAAUGAAGGUCUUCGGAUUGUAAACUCCUGUCAUGUGGGAGCAAAUUAAAAAGAUAGUACCACAAGAGGAAGAGACGGCUAACUCUGUGCCAGCAGCCGCGGUAAUACAGAGGUCUCAAGCGUUGUUCGGAAUCACUGGGCGUAAGGCGUGCGUAGGCUGUUUCGUAAGUCGUGUGUGAAAGGCGCGGGCUCAACCCGCGGACGGCACAUGAUACUGCGAGACUAGAGUAAUGGAGGGGGAACCGGAAUUCUCGGUGUAGCAGUGAAAUGCGUAGAUAUCGAGAGGAACACUCGUGGCGAAGGCGGGUUCCUGGACAUUAACUGACGCUGAGGCACGAAGGCCAGGGGAGCGAAAGGGAUUAGAUACCCGGGUAGUC